GUGUGCGCGCUUCAGGGCCUAUUUCAGUAGGACACUAUAAUUCCUACUUACUGCUAAAUCCUCCUUCUAGAUACACAUUUCAGUGUGAUUUUUAGUAUUCACUGCAGUAGUGAAUGUAGCCCAUUUCUUCCCUUUCCAUUCGCUACACCUCGACCUGACGUUUUGGGUUAUGCCAAUUGUGCUUACUAUAGAUCCCUCACAGGGUAAGCUGACGACGGCGGUAUAUAAGCGGGAGAGAGCAAGGAAAGGUGAGGUUGAACGGGGGUUAUCGGUUUUAGAACAGGCUCCUCUAGGUGGAUCUAAAGCACCGCCAAGUCCUUUUGGUUUUAAGCUAAUGCUCGUAGUUCCCGGGCGGAUAGUAGAUGU
rnacentral:rRNA from 1 species